rnacentral:lncRNA from 1 species
AACUGUCUAUGCAUGGAAGAUUUGAAGUUUUCAAAAAGUCGUUAACAUAUAGUUACUGCUACCAUGCACAGAAGAACAGAUCAUCUCAGUUCAUUCAUUGAACAGAAUGUAUAUGCUCAAAUGUUGCUUCACAUUGACAUAAACAUAAUAACAACAAUUCUACUUUUAAUAUCCGGGUCAGAACUGUUGCUGUUUUCCGAACCAUGCACAACAAAAACAAUCCAAAAAUUCUUGACAGGAUUCCCGGUACCCAGUAAUAUGAGAAGUUCCAUACUAAAUAAUCUCUGCUUCAAACAUGUCUAUGUAAACCUACUGCCUUCAUAAUAAAAAAUUUUCUUCCUUUUCAACUGCAUAUUUCAGAUAAAAAAAAAUCUGAUGGAGUUAUAACAUUAUGAUUCAUACGAGAACUCACCAAGGAGCUGCAACCAAGGUAGCAAAGUUAAAUCUUGCUUCCAGAAUGCUUUCUUUGAAUUUAUCUGAAGUCCUUUGUAAUUCAGCUACUUUGAAGGCUUCCAUCUCUUUCUUCUCCUUGAGCAUUUGGAUGUCCUUGUCCAACAGCGCAAUUAUGCUGUUCAUAGCUUUCUUUGAUUUGUAGCAAUUUAACCAAUUGAGUUCGUAUUGGAUAGCUUUCUUUGAUUUGUAGCAAUUUAACCAAUUGAGUUCGUAUUGGCUCAACGGUGAAACCAUAUCCUUCUAUAAUUUGUUGCGUGUAACUUCAACCAACUUUGCAAAACUCAACAUGAGCCCUAUGGCAGCCCCUUCACGGAGAUACUCAUCCAAAACUCAACAUGAGCCCUAUGGCAGCCCCUUCACGGAGAUACUCAUCCUGUUCCUUCAGGGGAUUAAAAUGUGGUUGUUGUGGCAUAGACCGAAAGACUUCCAUGGACCCAAGCUGUGGCCACAUAAAUGAGCUCUUGAUGAAAGGAAAACCGCUCUCUAGAGAUGAAGGCUCAGGACUUGGUUGCCUAGAUGUGGCUGCUGCAACAUCAACUGAUAUGUGCUGAGCCAUUUGAUUUUCUCUUGCAUUAAUACCAAAAUCAUUAAAAGUAUUGCAUUUCUUCACCCAAGAUGAAUUUUCAACCACAUUUGAUGACUCGGGGGAUUCAGGGCUUCUCGAUGCAUCACUCAGGUUGACUUCCUCAUUUGGUGUGACCUCAUCGUCAAAGUGGAAUCCUACAAAGAUACGUUGAUGAUCAGGCUAUUUAGUUUUAGACUUUUAGUAUGACACCACAAACUGAUUUAUAUUACCUUCGCUGUCUUUCUCUAAAUGAGAACUGAACUUUUCAAGACACACAGAUACAGGUUGAUGCUCCUGUGCAGAACAGCUGAAUGAUUUGGAGCAUUCUGUGUGGAUUACUUCUAAUGCUUCAUUGCUGGCAACAUUGCUUUCAAAACCUACAAAAUUACACAGGUUGUACAUGCCCAUAAAUGAUCUUCAUUGUCUUUUACUACAAGGAAUCAAAAUUCUCAAGGAACAAGAAGAUGAUGUUAUGGAUCAAUAUUUUGUACCUCCAACUGAUGCCAUUUCGUCUGAACCUUCUGAUUGUCGUGUUUUCUCUUGUCCUACAUGACAUGAAAAAAAUCAUUAGAUGUGAUCCCCCCAAUUAGUGUAACAACUGAUAGAGAAGGCAAAUUAAUUUUAUUAAUUCCACAAAAACAGAAGGAACAAGAAAAUGAGGUUAUAGUUCAAUACGUAUUUUGUACCUCCAACUGAUGCCAUUUCGCCCGAACCUUCUGAUUGUCGUGUUUUCUCUUGUCCUACAUGUCAUGAAAAGAAAUCAUUAGUUGUGAUCCCCCUAAUUAGUGUAACAACUGAUUGAGAAGGCAAAUUAAUUUUAUUACUUCCACAACAACAAAAGGAACAAGAAGAUGAGGUUAUGGUUCAAUACUUUGUACCUCCAUCUGAUGCCAUUUCGCCCGAACCAUCUGAUUGUCGUUUUUUCUCUUGUCCUACAUGACAUAAAAAAAAUCAUUAGUUGUGAUCCCCGUAAUUAGUGUAACAACUGAUUGAGAAGGCAAAUUAAUUUUAUUACUUCCACAACAAGAGUUACAGAAGUGGCAAGGCUGUGAUCAUUUUUGACUUCAGCAACGAGAACCGAGAAGAGCUUGUUUUGGUAAGUUCUAAAAAUAGCUAAGAAUUUUUUUUCUUUUUGUGAAUUCCAGAAAGUAAAAUAGGCCAAAAUUAAUGUCAACAUGAAUACGAUUGUGGGGCAUAAUACCACGUAAAUAUUUUUUUUUUCUUCUCAUAAACAAUAUUUUCUCCUAACCAUUUCCCGAAGUUUUGCCAAAAGCUUUUUGUAAACGAAAAGCUCUAGCUGUUAAGAAACAGUAGUGCCCAGUUUGAAGUGGCUCUGCCUAAUUAAAGAAGUGAUGAAACCACUCGUCCACAUAUCAGCAUGGACAUGUGGAUGAAGAACCCUGCUUAAAGUUUAGUUUUAGGAACACUGCAUAGAAGGUGAUACUCAAACAGAACAAGUUGAUACUUAAUACAGUAUAUAGUAAUUGUGAUGAGGUAUUGAUAUUGAUAGCUUUUAUAACUUGUUGAGAGACAUUUGAGACUUUGAGUAUACAGCCUUCGAAAUAAAUGUUUAUGUAUCUUAUAACAUUUAUGUGCAUAAAGUACAGAAGGGAAUUUGAACGAAAUGUAAAGACACUUGUGAGACACAUCAGUUAAUCAAAAAAAUUAGUUGUGCACAGAAGAAGAAAGUAUCAAUCUGGCAUGCAUGACAAAAGAUUAUUGGUUUUCAAACGUCGUUUCCAUUAAUAAAAUUAAUAGAAAACAUUUAAGUUGUGUUUUGUUUUGUAGUUUAAGUAAAGGAAUUUCCCAUAACAUAACAACAGUCAAUUUAACAGUUAAGUCAGGUCUGCUAUAUGCUCUCUAAACCAUUCCAUGCACAUCAAAAAACGAUUAUAUAGGUCAUUAAAAGUGUUCUUUUCGCCAGACUAAAUAAAUUCUCAACAAUAUUUCAUAUCAGGAAAUCUGAGGCUCUUUGUUGACUCAUAGUGAUUGCUUAAUUGUCACCAGCUCGUCAAGUGAAACUCAUACAGAAUGAAAAUCAUGAUCAAUUUAAUUAAUAUAACAAGGAAAGCUAUCGCAAAUUCUUUUAUAGUACCUCUGUUGUCUUUCACAAUAGACUCUAAGAGGCACGAAGAAAGAUUUUGAUGCUCUGUCUCUUGUGUGCAUUUGGUCUGGACAACUUCUGUUGUUUCUUUGCUAGCAGCUUGACUGUCAGGGCCUACAAAAUGACAGAAUGGAUGUAUCUGAAUAUUGAUUACCUCCGUCGUCUUUCACUAUAAGAGAACCAGAUUUUCUGUAGCAACAUAUGAUGACUCUAUGUUUCAACAUUUCUGUACCUUCCACUGAUGCUCUUAAGCCUGGAUCUUUUAGUUGUCGUCUUCUCCUUUUUCCUACAUGACACAAACAAACUCAUGAUCAACCAAUUUCCUUUAACAAAGGUUACAGAGUGAUUCUAGAUUACCUCCACUGUAUAAACGUGUCCUUAGUAAGGCACCUACAGUCCAGUGGCGUCGACAAUCUUUACAAAAGUGAACAGGCUUUGACCCAUUUUGAAGUUGAUAGUAAACAAACUUUGUAUUGAUAGAUUCACAGCGUGGACAUUUCAAUGCCACCUGACACAUGGAAGCUUGAUUGGCCAUAGAUGUUUCAGGUUGUUGUAUUCUCCUUUCUCCUACACAACAGAAGAUAAUCAUGAUUAAAUUGUUUCAUUAACAAAGGUUGUAAAGUAAUUCUGAAUUACCCCAUUUAGAGAAGCCCUUAGUUUCUCACCUACAGUCCAAUAGUGUAGACAAUUGUUACAAAAGUGAACAGGCUUUGACCUUUUUUGAUCUUGAUAGUAAGCAAACUUCGUAUUUGUAGAUUCACAGCGUGGACAUGUCAAUGCUACCUGAGACAUCGAAGCUUGAUUGGCAAUAGAACUUUCUGGCUUUAGUCUUUUCUUUCUAGCUGCAUGGCAUGAAGAAUUGAAGAUACUCGUGAUUAAAUUGUUUCAUCAUUAAUAUAGGUUAUAAAGUGAUUCAUGAUUACCUCCAUAAGCGUUUUGUCUGCCACCUACACUCCAUUGGCGUCGACAAUCAUUACAAAAGUGGCAAGGCUUUGACUUAUCUCUGUGUUGAUAGUAAGAAAACUUCGUAUUCAUAGAUUCACAGCGUGGACAUUUCAAUGCUACCUGAAACAUCGAAGCUUGAUUGGCCAUAGAACUUUCUGGCUUUAGUCUUUUCUUUCUAGCUGCAUGGCAUGAAGAAUUGAAGAUACUCGUGAUUAAAUUGUUUCAUCAUUAAUAUAGGUUAUAAAGUGAUUCAUGAUUACCUCCAUAAGCGUUUUGUCUGCCACCUACACUCCAUUGGCGUCGACAAUCAUCACAAAAGUGGCAAGGCUUUGACUUAUCUCCGUGUUGAUAGUAAGAAAACUUCGUAUUCAUAGAUUCACAGCGUGGGCAUUUCAGUGCUAACUGAGACAUCGAAGCUUGAUUGGCCAUAGAACUUUCUGGCUGUAGUCUUUUCCUACCACCUGCAUGGCAUGAAGAUAUUCAUGAUUAAAUUGUUUCGUUAAUGAAGGUUAAAAAGUGAUUUGGGAUUACCUUCACAAACCAAUAGUUUGGCACCUACAGUCCAUUGACGUUUACAAUCAUGACAAAAGUGGCAAGGCUUUGACUUAUCUCGAUUUUGAUAGUAAGCAAACUUGGUAUUUGUAGAUUCACAGCGUGGGCAUUUGAGUCCCACCCGAGCAUGAUCAGGCGCAGAAUUAUCUGGUUGUGGUCUUUUUCCUUGUCCUUGAAAAUAUGAAGACACUCGUAAGCACCCUAAUUAGUUGAACAAGGAAUUACAAAAUUGAGUCCAGAGUUGAGAUUACCUUCACCAACUGCAACUGGAAUAUCCCUCAAUUCACCAUUAACAAUCCAACUUUGUCGACAAUCAUUACAGUAAUGACAAGGCUGGGAUUCCUGCUGAUUUUGGUAGUAAGAGAACCUUGUAUUAGUAGAUUGACAUUUUGGACAUUUAAGUGCCACCUUAUUGAUCAAGGCUUGACCAUCUUCCACAUCCAUAGAAACAUGAUUCAUUGAUUCCAUUUCACCCAUCUGUUGAAAGCUGAAGACUUUAGAAAAUGAGUCCAUUGCUACUACGUACUACUUCCUUGUUGAUAAUACUGUAUAUAUAUUUUCCGUAAUAAUAAAUUAAUAAUGAUAAUACACCAACACAAAUCAAAUAUUUUAUGCAGUAACAGUUGAGGGGUCUGCCUAAGUAAUCAAGUAAUCCCAACUUACUUCAAAAUAAAAAAAAAUAAAAAUAAAAAACCAAAGCUUAUGAUAAUUUCAUAAUGUAGAAAGAAGAAACCUAAAUGAAAUGUUUUUGAUGUUUAAAUGAACAAAACCCAAGCUUGGAAAACAAAGUUAAUGGAACAAAACCCAAUGAUAAAUACUAAAAUGUAUGAAUAUCUUUGAACUAGCUAGUACCUGGCUUUUGAGAAAUCCUUAGAGAGAAGAUAAGACCACAAACUAAAAACCCCUGAAAUUUCUAGAGAUAUUUUGUUUUGCUUUGUUGAAGAUGAAGAAGAAGAAGAAGAAGAACAUUUAAAUAUUUAAUAAAGCCAAAUGUCAAAGGUUUUGGGGAAAAAGUAAAUGCAAGGUAAGCAUGAGCAGAAGUCAGAACUGCAGAAGCUUGUCAGAAGCUAUUAAAAACCGAGUCGACUAGGCCGGCCGGUUCAUAUUUACUUUUGUUUUACGAGAUUUUGGAUAUACCCUUAAUUUGAAAUUAGAAAUUUAAUUAGUGAUACCCCCAUAUUGAGAGUCAAGAUGGUCAACUCAACAUUGACCAAUCUUCCAUUGAUGAAGUUUGAUGUUGUUAUGUUGAUCACCAGAAGCUUUAGUCAAUGGAAUAGUGUGGUUAACACUUAACACAUCAUUUGUUGCUUUGAUCAAUGCCAACAUGGUGCAAAAGUUGUCAUUGCACCAUGAAUUAAGUACAGGGUCCUCAGUGAAGCACCAUCACUAGUCCACCACCACCACCAUCACCAUCACAAAACUCAUAAUCAAUAUAUCUAAAGUUGGGUUUUUCCAAUCUGACAUCUGGGUAUGUUUAUUCUUUCUUACUGAUUUUUAUUUAAGUUAUCAAUAUUUAUUUAUAAUGGUUUGCAAUUUGUUCACUUUAUCAAUACAUUAUAGUAUUAUACAUGUGUGCUUUUAUUUCUCCUUUUUUUUUUUCUUAAUUAUUUUUGCUCAUUUGAUUGGGAUAUUGAGAACUUGGAACCAAAUGCUAUUGUUUUGAGCAUACUUCUUAGGGGGAUUUUCAUGGAAGGUAAUAACGGCAUUUCAGGUUAAUGGAAAGAAGCAACGGGAUUGUUCAAAGAAAUGGUAAGUCGAGGAAUCUCACCAGAGGUACAAACAUAUAGUGUUGUAAUUGAUUCUCUUUGUAAAGAAGGUAUGAUCAGUAUAGCCCAUGUAAUGUUCAAGAUGAUGAUAGAGAGAUGUGAGGAGCCGGACAUAGUCCCAUAUAACAGUUUGCUGAAUGGAUAUUGUGUGCAAGGGAAACUGAAAGAGGGGAUUUUUUUUUUUUUUUUUUUUUGAUUCUAUGGUUGCUAGUGGUCACUAUCCAAAUAUUGUUAGUUAUAGCAUUUUGAUUAAUGGCUAUCGCAAGGCUAGUAGGAUGGAUGAGGCAGUCCAACUUUCCAAGGCUAUGCAAUGCUAGGGAUUAACACUUAGCAAUAAUUUUUACCCUUAUAGGUGGACUUUGCAAGAUUGUUUAAAAGGGUUUGCAGCAACAGAUCUUCUGAAAGACAUGCUAGCUAAUGGAGAAAGCCAGAUUUGUUCACCUAUAGUGACAUAAAUGAUGGACUUUGUUAUACUGACUAUUUUACACACACGAAGAGUUGUUCUCCAUGUGAUGGAUGAAGCUCCAGAUGAUUUGAUAACCUUUCUCUAUUUUCAGUGAAAAUGAUAGAGGAAGGUUUGGCUCCAGAUGACUUCACAUCCUCUAUUCUUAAUCUAUGGAUUCUUGUCCAAGAGAAUAGUAAAUGAAGUUCGUCGUAUUUGCAGACAAAUGAUAAGGAAAGGCUUGGCUUCAGAUGACUUCACAUAUAAUAUCCUAGUAUCCCAAUCUAGUGAUUCUUUCUCCAAGAGAAUGAUACCUGUAACACAAUGCUUCGCAAAACUAUGAUUGAGACAGGGUGUUGGGACUGUGUCUAUUUGGGUGAAUUUGCUUAUGGUUGUUGUUUCAAAUUGUUGGAGAUGCUUCUUAAGUUCUUGUCAGAUGACUUUGAAAAGGUAUUUCACUAAUUUGUAUAUUUGCUAUCUGUUAGUUAGAACACUGUUAUGUUUGUUCUUCUCUGAUUUUGUUAUGUUUGUUCGUCUUUGAUUUUGUCAGACUAUUCUCUGAACUUUCUAUGUUUAUUCUUUUGGACGAAGUUGACAACCAGAUCUACAUCCUAAGCCAUAUAAAUCAAUAUCCACUGUUGACCUGUUAGUGUAUAUUAAUAUUAACAAACUGCACGAUAUAAAUGUCUAGCCAAACGGAGUUUUUGUUGAUUGGUGUAGUAAAAGAUAAUCUUUGUGUUCAUGAAACAGAUGUUUAAAGAGCGAGUGCAAUUGACCAGUAUAUUCUUUUCAAAGUUUGGCAUGCUGUCAAUAAUAGGCUGGCGCAAAUGUGCAUUGCAUUCCAGAUCCUUACAACUUUUGUAUAUCUGUUGUGAAGGUCAUUGCGGAAGUUUACACCUGUGAUAUGUGUACUCAUAUUUCGUCAUUGCAGGUUACAUUAUCACCACUCGGUGAUUUUGCACUUUUGCGAAGUUGCUUUGUGGAUGUCUGUUGAUAAAAUGAAGCUAUUUAUCAUCACAUCUUGAUUUAUUCUCUUUUCACUAUUAAAACUUUAAUAUCUACUAAAUGUCAUCAACAGUACUGUUCAAGCAAUUUUUAAUAUCAAUGUCAUGUUAACAUGAAUGUGUAAAAAUUAGAAACUACCAAACAUUGCCAAAAGUUGAUAUGAAUCUUCUUGGUUGUGUUGUGAGUCUGCUUUCUUCCUGGAAGAAUGGGACUUGGGAGUAUUUUACCAUUUGUGAUAUGUGGGGACUAUGUAGAUCAGACUCGCUGUGGGAGAUGAUUCUAUAAAUCAAGGGUCUUCUUAUUUAUGAACUAAAGCUCAGAGAAUUUAAGAACUGCAUCUUUGAUUAGUUAGAUUUGGAUAAUUGGUGAAUUGUCUGCUCUGUGGUAGAACUUUUUCUUUUCUUAAUUUUCUUACUUGGCUCUUUUAGUAGGUCAUCUCGACCUACAUGUUUCUUUAUAAUGAACUUCCAUCUUUUACUGUGCAACAAAGAUAAUAGGCAUUAUUCGUGGAAUUUUGAAAUGAACUAUUUCUGUACAGAAAUGGAAGGUGAUGGAGCUUGAUUCUGUAGCAGUGUAGCUGGUAAAGUUCUUCCUGUGGCUAUGAAGCCAACAACUGCCACUCAAAAUCAAAGCAGAAUUACGAGUGGGGUAUGCUACAAGCCUACAAUUAAUGCUGUGGAUUGAUAGAUUUUGUAGAUGGCCUGCUAGCUUUCACGAUCCUAACUGAGUUUGCUGAAAACUUCCUUCAGAAUCAAUCAGCAGAAGAUUUUGGAUAAAUAUGUUGAAAGCCAUGAUUGAAAUUCAAGCCGACAUGUGGUGGACUGCUUCUUGAUUGUUGAUUGGCAUUCAGUGGUACACAUAUAAGCUGCAUUCUCAAAGAAGACAAGCUUGAAGUACUCUCAAAAUCUUGGAAUUUUGGUAUGCUUCUCAAUUGUCAAAUAUUAAUUAAGUUUAUAUAUAUUGUUUGAUUCUUAAUAAACUAAAAUUAAAAAAGAAAUGUAAAUAGAAUAAAUGUAGUGUAGUGAAGGAUUGUGUGCACUUAAUUGCCUAAUGAACCGUCUUUUUAGUAGUGCAUGGAUAUAUCAGUUCUUGUAUCUUUAACCAAGGAUAGAAGUGGAAGUGAUCCUCGGAUUACUCUUGUGGGCAUCUUGAAAGCAUAGCUGUAGGAAGCACCUAUAGAGGAAGCCAAAUACUGCCCAAAACGAAUGGCACUAUCUACAUCGCAUAACUCAUAGAAAUUUCAUUAAUACAAGCGUCUUGUUCGCCUGAAUUUUAAAAUACAACUGUGCUUGAAAUGCCACAAGAUACAAGUGUACUUUUUGCUUUUCAAUUGGGUGAGAAGUAGAGCAGUUCGUGUGGCCUUUAUUUUUUUCUCUGGGAGGUCUUAGACUUGACUGAAUGUAUGCUCCACAGUGACUUGAUUAUCUUGAAAUCAAAGGCUCUGAUAUUUCCAGCAGGCCUUUUUGUUCACUCCAGUAAACAUAGUUGAAAUUUCGAUUUUGUGCAGCUAUCUGAUUCCUAAAAACGGUAAGGCUUGUGCUGCAAUUACACAAUUUUGACACUAAAGGUAAAGCUUAUGCUGCAAUUAUUUCGUGCUUAUUUGACUAUUUCUAAAAAAACGAAUAUAUUCGUAGAAUAUUAGUGAAUAUCAAACGAAUAUAUUUGUCGAAUAUUCGCAAAUAUCAGACACGAAUAUAUUCAUCGAAUAUUCAAAAAAUAUCAAACAAAUAUAUUGUUCAAAUAUUUGCAAAUAUCAGAGAUAUUUUCAUCUAUGCCAGUAAAUACGAUUUGUGUUUGCUAGUGAAAUUACCUUAUUCGUCUUGACUUUGAUACCUUAUUAUGCAUUGAAGCUGUACUUGCUCUUAUCAUUAAUGAAGCACUGUUCUUAUCACUAGUGAUUACUGCAACAAAACAAAACAGAUGUCAACACUAAUGUUCUUAUCGAGAGCAUGAGUGGUACUGUAGUAGACUGGAAAACUAUGUUCUAAAAUUAAUGCAGCAUCUGGUUUUUGUUUCAAGGUGUGAUGAACAUUGUUCUUAUCAAGAAACCCUUUCGUAGCAGAAACAACCAACAAUAAAAAUGGCAUUUGCUUGACUUAAGCUUUGUUUUUUUUUAUUUUAACAAAAUCUACAUUCUCAGCUCUUUUUAAGCUGCCACACUGAGUCGAAAUUCUAAAAUUGUUCAAAAGGAAUCAAGAAGUUCAUAAGCUCACACACAAAACAUUUCCUUUUUCAGAAUUCCAGUUGCUUGAAGAUGACGACAGGUGCUCGUGCUUCCUUGCUAACCCCCAUCUUCAAAAGGUAAGGUUUCGUAACCAUUAUCAAAUAUCUUGUGUUUUAGAUUUGAAGCACACAUUCAUUUAACUCUUUAGCAAUUAUUAAAUUUUACAGGUUAAGGGGUAAGGUCGCACUCAUAACUGGUGGAGCAAGUGGAAUUGGUGAGAGCACAGCUAGAUUGUAUACUCGAAAUGGCGCAAAAGUAGUCAUUGCCGACAUCCUAGAUAACAUUGGUGGUUUAGUCUGCAAGGAAUUAGGUUCAGAUGAUAUCAUUUCUUAUACACAUUGUGAUGUCACUCAAGUAAAUGAUAUCAAAAACGCCGUAAAUUUUGCCAAGUCUAAGUACGGAAAACUCGACAUCAUGUUCAACAAUGCAGGAAUAAUUGGCAAGAAUGAACGACAAUUACUAAAGUCUGAUAUGGAAGAUUUUAAAAGGGUGUUUGAUGUGAAUGUGUAUGGUGCCUGCUUGGGUGCUAAGUAUGCUGCGAGCGUAAUGAUCCCUGCAAAGGGAGGAAGCAUAAUCUUUACAGCAGGAAUUUCUUCGGAGGUUUCUCAUGCUUACGCUGCAUCAAAGUAUGCCGUGGUAGGCUUAAUGAAGAACUUGUGUGCUGAAUUAGGGCAAUAUGGGAUUAGAGUUAAUUGUAUCUCUCCUUUUGGAAUUACAACUCCACUGCUUACUAGUGCAUUAGGCAUGGAUGAAUGGAAGACACAGGAAGUGGUGCUUAAGUCUGCCAUCUUAAAAGGAAUUAUAGUAAAGCCUGAAGAUGUAGCUGAGGCAGCUGUUUAUUUGGGCAGCGAUGAAUCAAGGUAUGUAAGUGGACUUAACCUAGUUGUUGAUGGAGGUUAUAGUACAACAAAUCCUUCAAUGGGCACAGUUAUAAAGAACAUUACAUCGACAUAAUCCCUGUCAUGGAUUUAGUUUGUAUUCUUAAAUGUAGAACCUAGCUAUGAGCUAUCCAUUGUUAUCUCAGAUGUUUCAGAUCUUGGUUUACUUUAUAUUUGAAUUUUUAGUGGUGUUUACAAGUUUGAUUAUAAAUUUAUAACCGAAAACAAUUACAUUUAGAAGCUUAUUAUGAUCCAACUUUGUUGAUUAUAACUAGAAACAAUUCAUCUUCUUUUUCGUGAUUUCUGGUAGAUCUACUCUUUUUCUUCAACAUUUCUAAACAACUAUAAUAUGUAUACUGAUAUACAAGGUUAAAGUGGGGAUUCUUGAGUUCAUAGUGAGAAAUCAAGUGGGGAUUCUCGAGUUCAUAGAGAGAAACCACCAAGUUUUUACUGUUUGGAUGGUUUGUGGUUUGGAUUAAAAUGUACAGGCUGAAACGCAAGUUGUAAUUGCGUUUUUGGUGAACUCCAUUGUUAAUAGCAUUUUUUUUUGUUGGCAGAACUCCAUUGUUAAUAGCAUUAGAAGUACACAAUAUUAAUACUAGAGGUAAUUAGCGAUACCCCCCGGAAUUCAAGGCAACAUAGCGAUACCCCCCUAACUCCAAAAAGAUUUGUGUUACCCCCCCAAAAUUAUUUUCCAGUGAAAAAUAGACUUGAACUGCCAUAAAUACCCUUAUGCCACGUCAGCAAUGGUUUAGGUCAAAUUUAAAAGUCUGAUGUGGCAUAAGGUAUAUNNNNNNNNNNNNNNNNNNNNNNNNNNNNNNNNNNNNNNNNNNNNNNNNNNNNNNNNNNNNNNNNNNNNNNNNNNNNNNNNNNNNNNNNNNNNNNNNNNNNGCGAACUAUGACCUUAGUUGAUAUAGUUUUCCAUUAUAACUGGAAUUAGUUGGUCUGAUCUUAACCAAUCUUUGAAUUUCAAGUAUAUAGCUAAUGUAAUGCUUCGUUUACCUUUGGUGAUCUCGUAGUUCUGGUCUGUGAAGAUGCGUUGUUAGGUGCUCCAUUUGAUUUUACCACUGAAGACCGAUCCUAAACCUUGUGCUCGAGAGAAAUCUUUUUGGAGUUGGGGGGUAUCGCUAUGUUGCCUUGAAUUCCGGGGGUAUCACUAAUUAGCUCUUAAUACUAUGUGUAUUGAGAUUAUACCUCCUAUGUGUAUUGAGAUUAGAUACAUUACAUCCCUAAGAGUAUUGAGAUUAUACCUCCUAUGUGUAUUGAGAUUAUACCUCCUAUGUGUAUUGAGAUUAGAUACAUUACAUCCCUAAGUCCCUACACGCCAUUGGACUUUCACAAAGCCAAAACCAAAACAAGGUAAUGAUAUCCCUCCAUACACAAUGUUAUCCCUCUAUACACUAUGUUUAUACAAAACACAUUCUUUGGUUAACUUCAAAAUCUUACAAUCCCACUACAUUUUCUUCUCCUAAUCUAGUUUAGCAUACAAUAAAACCAGCAGCAUUGUAGUCUGUAGAACAGUAUUGUAUUAACCUAUUUAUAGAUUAAUGCACUACUAGAUCAGGUCAUUGGGAGACUUGACCAAAGGGGAAUUUGUAGAUCGGGGUGGCUGCACCUCGUUGAGAUCGAGAUUGCCUACGUACUCUUAGCUCGAGGGGAUUGAACUUAGAGAUCAAACCAUCGUAGUUCUGUUCUUAUAGAAGGUAGAAAGGCGUGGAUCGUGGAUCUUGCAGAUUCUCCGUCAUCAUAAUGAGGAUUAAUUGUGUAACGCGCGAGGAUCAUCCCUGUGAAUUAAAUAUGUAAUUGACGAGGAUAUUCUGUGCAUUGAAUGAGAGCGCGUGUGUGUUAGCAGGCCGCUGCUCGUUAUGAGAUCGAGUUGUUGUGGUCGAACUACUAUCGGGUAGAGAUCGUGGCGACCUGGUGGAUGAAUGACUGUGCCACGUGGCUGCUUUUGAUUGGUUGGAGUAUGUAGUACCCCUACAUAAGCCCUCUCUUUUUAGGUUGAACGGAGUUCGGGCUGAAAAGAAGUAAUCGAACCGAUCCAGCCCCCAAGAUGAAUGAAAUAUGGGGUUCUUUAACGAAGUCGAUCCGCCCCAAAUUUUGAUGAGCUUGAUCAUUGAGAUUUGCAGGACGCGAUGAAGGUCCCUUGUGGUAAUGACAACUCGAUCAUGAAUUUGUGUAUAGCGAGCUAGUUAGUUCCAGGGAGACCUGGUAGCUCGUUCAGAAGGCAUGUAGACGAGAUGGACAGCUGCAAGCAGGUCGUACUGAAGUGGGUCUUCUUGCAUACAUGGGUGGUUGUCUUUUUGUGGUCGAGUUGCAUAGACCUGAUACUUGUUGAUAAUGUUAGCAUGUGAAAUAUUAUAAAAUUUAGUAAGAGACUUACACUGAACUGUAUGUCUUCCUUAUAAAUUUUGUAUGUACUAUCUUUGUCGCCUUGUGAUUGGACAUUCCGAUAGAUGUGGCACUUUGGAGUGCACAUGUAGCUCGUUUGAGAAAGAGCAUUGGUUGACCAAGUGUUUUGAGAGUUACUUGGAACCUUUUGGUGCCCGAUCUAGUGAAUGGUCGCAGCGUGGAGACCUGUUUGAUAAUUCUCGGGCAUGUGGCCUUUGUGGGUCUGCAUUGCGUUGAGAGUGAAUGCGUUCGACCAGGCGUGUGGCUAGAGAAUUGUGUUUGAGGUCGUCCCGCAUACGAGUGACUCACUAGUCAAUGAGGGUGGCCGUAUUGUAUAUCAAGCAUUUCACUUGUAAAGAGUUCAGUGAAAGCAAUGUGGCACAUUUGUGCAAAAAUAGCUCAUGGGGAAUGAGGUCGUGUUCAUGUGACCUGCACAUAGAGAGAGCUACAAAAAAUAUCAUUAAUAGCUAAUUAUGCUAAUAAUAAGUUAAUUUCAUUAGAUAAAAUGAGAAUAGCCCCCUGUAUGGCAUAAAUAUUCUUGAGGUCGUUGAAAGACCUGUAAUUUGAGGAGGUCGUUGAUAGACCUGGUGAGGUCGCGAUGAAGGACCUGGUAUGAAGGACCUGGCAUGAAAGACCUGGUAUGAAGGACCUGGCAUGAAAGACCUGGUGAGGUCGUGACGAGACCUGAGAGGUCGUUGGCUUAGAGACCUGAAUAUGUGAGGAGGUCUCUGCAAGACCUGAACAUGUGGCCAUUAAGAAUGUAACUGAUAUAUAUAAUCAUGAUCGAGUUAUGAGAAUAUAUGUUACAUAGAUGCAUAUAAUAAUCAAUUUGUGUGAGACAAAAUAGAAUGAACAGUAAGAUCAUAGUGAAUUGAUACUUAUCUUGCUUUCGUCGAGUUUCACAUACAGUACUGGUAACCGAAAGUAAACCCCCAAUUUGGAAAUUGUGAUUGCAAUUCUGCCAAAUAGAAUUUCUUGAACUUGAAAUCACCACUUUGAGAGCCUUACAACAAUGGUGUAAUGGUGGGGUUGGUGGGUGGAAUUCGCUUGAGAAAAUCCCAAGUCCCUGUAGUCGGCGCCAAAUGUAUUAACCUAUUUCUAGAUUAAUGCACUACUAGAUCAGGUCGUUGGGAGACUUGACCAAAGGGGAAUUCGUAGAUCGGGGUGGCUGCACCUCGUUGAGAUCGAGAUUGCCUACGUACUCUUAGCUCGAGGGGAUUGAACUUAGAGAUCAAGCCAUCGUAGUUCUGUUCUUAUAGAAGGUAGAAAGGCGUGGAUCGUGGAUCUUGCAGAUUCUCCGUCAUCAUAAUGAGGAUUAAUUGUGUAACGCGCGAGGAUCAUCCCUGUGAAUUAAAUAUGUAACUGACGAGGAUAUUCUGUGCAUUGAAUGAGAGCGCGUGUGUGUUAGCAUGCCGCUGCUCGUUAUGAGAUCGAGUUAUUGUGGUCGAGCUACUAUCGGGUAGAGAUCGUGGCGACCUGAUGGAUUAAUGACUGUGCCACGUGGCUGCUUUUGAUUGGUUGGAGUAUGUAGUACCCCUACAAGUAUCUAUCAACAUGGAAAGGCCUAGUAUUCCUCCAUGCUUCAUCUUUCUUACUCACUUUAUACUCCAACUGAAAAAAAAAAAAAUCAUUAAAAAACCAUUGCAAGUAAAUAAUGGCUAUUUCCUUGUGCUUGUUUUCAUAUGUAGUGCAUUCAUGAAUAACAAAUUAACAACUCAAGGUGAUCAAUUUAUUAACAAACUUUACCAGAUUGAUUUAUCCAUUGUUGAUCUUAAGCUCAUUGUUGUGUUCAAAAUAUACAUAAAUGCACCUCCAUUCGCCAUAUUCUAUGGUUUGAGACCAGCGUGCUGUGCAUUCUUUUCGGGGGUGAGUUUUUUUUUUUUUUUUUUUGAGAAGGUAUAGUAUUUCAUUAAUCACAAAUAUACCAGGUCAGCAGCAUAUCGCAAUGUCAGUUGAAAAAACAGACCCACUAUAAAUCUAGAGACCAGAGGCAAUACUGUACGGCACAAGACUAGAGUCGGCUCCCUGUCAGCUGCUAUUGCUGAGUCCCCAAAGAGGCCUCCCAGUGACUACAGCAGCAGUACUAACCACAAAAUUGCUCCACUCUGCUGUGAAAACCAAAACCCUUUGCUGCCCUUACCAGUUUUCAAUGAUCCAGCUGUCCCAGCGCCGUACCAGGUCUGCAAAGCUAUAAGAUUUCUUCAGUUCUGAGCAUUUGCUAGAUAUUUCCAGCCAAUCCCAUAUCAUCCCUUUAACUUUGAGUAUUAAUUUCUCACAGUUCAAGGCACCCUGCCUGAAGAUGAUUAUACAGAUCAGAAUGCAUCUUUAUGGAAAAGCCGAAAUUCCUUGUGAUUUAAGAUUAUUAAACCAUAUUUGACCAGGACUGCUGCUUUGGAUAUCAACAGUGGUGUGCAUAACACUUGCUGGUGUAGUUUCACAAAAUUAUUAGAGUGAAGAAAGCCAUUGCACUAGGCACUAGCUUGAAAAUUCCAUUUAUUAUGGAUUUAUGGAAAACAGCUUCUCAUGCUAGAAGAAAAUAAAUGUUUCAUUAUGCAAUACUGUAUUCACAUUUACUGUACACACUGUAAUACCCGGUAUUUUGAUAGGCUUGUGCUUAAUAGAAAUUGGAUUUCAAUUUGGACUUCUUUGACUAUAUAAAUGGGUUUUAUGAAUGGGCUUAGUAUUAUGCUUUUUGGGCUUUAUUUUAAACUCAUCUUUAGGUCCACAUAAACAAAUAUUAGUAUAUAUAAUAUUCUUAGUUAUUUAAUGAAAAGGAGAAACCCUAGAUCUUAAACUUGAAGAGAAAUAUAUGGAUUCCCGUUUUUUGAUAACACUCUGUUAGUAUUUCGGCCAUAACUCUCUUUACAGAACUCAGAAUGACCUGAAUCUUAUGUCAUUAGAACCCUAUUGAAAAUACGCAUCUGAGCAUAUUAAGUAGAGCAUGUGAAUCUUCCGGACGUGACCUGUGCAACUGAUUCUUUGGAGGUCAGAAAAACUGUGACUGAUUUGCAGUAUGCUUGUUUUGAGUUGUGUUUUUCGUAUCUUUGGUAUUUGGUGGUCUUCUUAUGAGGUAAGUUAUAUUACUUGAUGUUUUCUCUUACUUUCUAGAUUAGGUUGAAGUAACCCCUUGUUAGCAUGUUUAAUUCGUUUAUUAUAAUUGAAUUGCAUGAUAAAGUAUGAUUUAGUAAGUAGAACUCAAUAAAGUUACAAUCUUGUUGAUAUUUAACUAUGUAUUAAUGUUGAAAUUUAACUUUAAGAACAUACUAAUGUAGGAAUUGGUGAUUUAAAACAUGUUUAAUGUUAAUUCAAUGUCCCAAAGCAUAAUAGAUGAUUAUAUUGCUUAAUUUGUACUUGGUAUGAUGAAUAAAACAUGAUUAUAUUGAAUUUAUUAAUGCUGAAAUUUAUAUUUUAAAAUAUGUUAUUAUUGGGCUUGAAGAUUUGACUUGGUAUUGUAGUGUUUGAUUGAACCCAUUGGUUAUGGACUUUCUUACUUUAGAAUUUCCUGAACUUGACAUCAUACUUGUUUAUGUUGUUCGUCAUAUAUAUUUAUAUGGACAAUGAAUGGAAUAGAAUGGUUAGAUUGAACCAUGUGUUGGAUUAGAAUUGGGCGUGUUAAACAAAUUAACACAAGACCCGUAUGAUGGGGAGACGUCCCGGAGUGUUGUCACAUGACAUAGCUCGAUGAGUGUAUGGCUAUGAUGCGUACGACUCGGUGCUACUGCACAAUUUUGUAUAUGAAUUUCAUGGAUUGAAAUUGAUAGAUUUGGAUGGACUUGAUGAUUUGGUUUGAGAUUGAAAUUGAUUGACUUUGAUUGAUUAGAUUGAUUUGGGCGUGUUAGUUAUACUAACACAGGACCCGUGGAUUUUGGGCGUGUUAAUUCUUGUAUCACAGGACCCGUUGGGAGACGUCCCUAAGUUAUGUCAAAUGACCUAGCUUGAUGAGUGUAUUGCUGCGAUGCGUACGACUCGGUGCUACUGCACAACUUGACACUUGUUGCAUGGAUUUGGAUUGACGUAAUAUGAUGGAUUGGAAUUAUUGGAUAAGGACUUGAUCUGAUAUUGCAGAUUGAUUGAUUGAGAUAGAUUUUGAUUAUUUGAUUAUUGGAACUGGAAACAUGAUUGACAUUACAGAUUACCAGAGAUUGAUCUUGUUGAUUUAUUUAUCAUUGUUUUAAAUGUUAGAAUAAAUUGAUUAGUAUUUAUAAUUGUUUAUCUCUAGGAUGCGCGGAUUCCUUUUCUGGGAAUUAAGAUCGAACCUCAAGUUUUGUAACUUGCUGGCGUUUAACGUCUUCCCUUUUUCCCUUUUUAGGAUACAAGUGUUUUAGAGAUGAAGUGUUCGAUAAGAGCUUGGUGAAAGUUGUCUUGAGUUGCUCAUAUGUCUAGUUGGAGUUUGAUGAGUUGUAACCUUCGGGCAUGACUCUGAUUUAUAUUUAUAUUUAUAUUUAUAUAGUUUGUAUUCUGUUUAGUCUUCCGUUGUUAGUUUAGUAUUUGUUUUUAUUUUAUUAUGUUCUUCUGUGGUCUAGAGGUGUGAUGUCACGUGACAGUAGUGUGACCCUACGGUCCAUGGAGGACAUAUGGUGAUCAUUAUGACUCUGUUGCCCGAUUUUGGCCUGGCCAGCUAGGAUCGGAUUUCAGGGGCGUUACACACACAGUCAGAGUUGGUUUAAUGACUUCAACUCAGUUUCUGACAUAUUCAACUGCAGAAUAUGGCGAGAAAUUGCUCAACAAGAAGACCUAUUUGAGUAGCAUACAGACUUGGGAGUAAUUAAGUGUCUGCAUUUUAGUAUCUAACUGUCUAUGCAUGGAAGAUUCAAUAUGUUUUCUAAAUAAAUUGUUAACAUGUAUGUAACUAAUAAUAAUUAACUUUUUAGGACACGUAUAUACCACAAGAAUUAGUGUAACCAGGGAUUGGGAAACGGAUCAUCUCGGCCCAUGCAUUGAACAACAGAUUGUGUGCUCAAAUGUUGACUCGCGCAUUGACAGAAAAUCUAAGUUGUGAACACCAUCUGUUGGGUUUAUUGCCACUACUAUAGUCUAAUAAGAUAUCUUUCCAUGAACACAAUAAUCUACUUUAAGUAAUAAGCAGGUCAGAAUUGUUUGCUGUUCUCCGAACCAUUCCAUGCACAACAAGCAACACAAAAUUCUUACAAUCUUACAGGGAGCCAUUACCCAUAAUAUGGGAAGUACAAUACUAAAGGAAUGCUGCUUAGAAACAAGUCAUUGUAAACCUAUUGCCUUCAUAGUAGAGUUUCUUUUCAACUGCAUAAUUUUAAUAAAAAUAAAUAAAAAAUUCCGAUGAAAUUAAUCCAUGAUGAUUAAUGAGUACUCACCAGGAGCUGCAACCAAUGUAUCAAAGUUCAAUCGUGCUGCCAGAAUGCUUUCUUCGAUUUGCUCUGAAGUCCUUUGUAAUUCAGCUACUCUGAAGGCUUCCUUCUCUUUCUUCUCCUUGAGCAAUUGGAGGUCCUUGUCCAACAGCGCAAUUGAUUCUAGUCCCUCAGUCACCUCCCUGGUUGUUGUCUUCAACAUGCAAUUAUG